UACGUAGGGUGCAGGCGUUAAUCGGAAUUACUGGGCGUAAAGCGUGCGCAGGCGGUUUGCUAAGACAGGUGUGAAAUCCCCGGGCUUAACCUGGGAACUGCGCUUGUUACUGGCAGGCUUGAGUGUGGCAGAGGGGGGGUGGAAUUCCACGUGUAGCAGUGAAAUGCGUAGAGAUGUGGAGGAACACCGAUGGCGAAGGCAGCCCCCCUGGGCUAACACUGACGCUCAUGCACGAAAGCGUGGGGAGCAAACAGG
rnacentral:rRNA from 1 species